CUGCCCUCAAGCCCGGCUUGUGUGUUGGGCCUCGUCCCCCCUCUCCGGGGGGACGGGCCCGAAAGGCAGCGGCGGCACCGUGUCCGGUCCUCGAGCGUAUGGGGCUUUGUCACCCGCUUCGUAGGCCCGGCCGGCGCUUUAGCCGACCCCCCAAUCUAUUUUUUCA
rnacentral:misc_RNA from 1 species